rnacentral:rRNA from 1 species
GAUGAACGCUGGCGGCGUGCCUAAUACAUGCAAGUAGAACGCUGAAGGAGGAGCUUGCUCUUCUGGAUGAGUUGCGAACGGGUGAGUAACGCGUAGGUAACCUGCCUGGUAGCGGGGGAUAACUAUUGGAAACGAUAGCUAAUACCGCAUGACAACAGUUAUUGCAUGAUAACUGUUUAAAAGGGGCAACUGCUCCACUACCAGAUGGACCUGCGUUGUAUUAGCUAGUUGGUGAGGUAACGGCUCACCAAGGCGACGAUACAUAGCCGACCUGAGAGGGUGAUCGGCCACACUGGGACUGAGACACGGCCCAGACCCCUACGGGAGGCAGCAGUAGGGAAUCUUCGGCAAUGGACGGAAGUCUGACCGAGCAACGCCGCGUGAGUGAAGAAGGUUUUCGGAUCGUAAAGCUCUGUUGUAAGAGAAGAACGAGUGUGAGAGUGGAAAGUUCACACUGUGACGGUAUCUUACCAGAAAGGGACGGCUAACUACGU